GUGUAAUCCAUAUUUUAUUUGUGCUGUUGUCAAAAGUUGUCUGCAUCAGCCAACUAGUGUGUUGUGUGAGAUUUGCACUAAAAGGAAGCCUCAAUACAUAAAUAUAGCCAUAAUCAGAAAGUGAGAAGAGACUCUUGGACAAUUGGCAACUGUGGAACACAUACAGACUGCAGGGUUUUAGCAGGAUGACUUGGCCAGGUUAUCAAUUAUUAUUAUUCUUUCCAAAUUUCUUAAAUUAUUUCUAUAGAUAUGUAGAUAUUCUUCAGUAUAUCCCCUGCUCUAUCUCUAUAUUUACACUAGAACUUUUUCUAAUUUAAAAGCAAAUUGUACUUGUUGUUUCUUUCUGCGUGUCUGGUUUUGUAAUUGUGGGUGGGAGACACACACAGUACCCUCUGUGUGUCACUGCAUUUAGCCUGGGCAGAAUAAGGGAGUUACUGUGUACUGAGGUCUGGGAGCAGAGAGGGGCAGGAAGAGAGCUGCUAUUGCUGGCACAGGAACACUGAAAGCUUGUCUGCAGGGAAAAGCCCUCUGUAGUUUGCUAUCAAUAAAGCACCGCAUUAUAGCAGAAGAAAGCUCAAUACAAAGGGAAAGAAAAAAUGAUCAGUGAUCCUGCGCUUUGUAUGUCUCAGCACGAAUAGAGAAAUAUUUUAUCCCCCAUCUCAUGUGGAUAUGUUGUAGAGAUCUUCCAGAUGAAUAACAUGAAGAGAUGCUGGGCUGACGUUCAGUACUGUUGGGAAGUUAAUCGGUUUCCAAAAAAACUAGUAAAUUCUGCAAGUCACUCUCCUCUUGUGCAGCUGUCUUGCCCAAUGGCGACCACCAAUGGAAGAUAUAUCAGCUCCUCAGAGUGAGAUGUUUUGCAAGUAGGAAUUUUUGUAGCUAUGAAUAAAGCCAUUUAGCUUUAUCAUAUUA